UACGAAGGAUUCGAGCGUUCUCCGGAUUUCUUGGGUUUAAAGGGUGCGUAGGUGGAUUAAUAAGUCAGUGGUGAAAGCCCGGAGCUCAACUCCGGAACUGCCAUUGAUACUGUUAGUCUUGAGUACAGUUGAGGUGGGCGGAAUGUGUCAUGUAGCGGUGAAAUGCUUAGAUAUGACACAGAACACCGAUUGCGAAGGCAGCUCACUAAGCUGUAACUGACACUGAGGCACGAAAGUGUGGGUAGCAAACAGG
rnacentral:rRNA from 1 species